rnacentral:rRNA from 1 species
GGUUGUGGGAGCAGAGCCCGGAGAUGGAUUCUGAGACACGAAUCCAGGCCCUACGGGGCGCAGCAGGCGCGAAAACUUUACAAUGCAGGCAACUGUGAUAAGGGAACCCCGAGUGCCCGUAUGGACGGGCUGUUCAGGUGCUUAAAAACCACCUGGAGAAAGGGCCGGGCAAGACCGGUGCCAGCCGCCGCGGUAAUACCGGCGGCUCGAGUGGUGGCCACUAUUACUGGGCUUAAAGCGUCCGUAGCUUGGUCGUUAAGCCUCUGGGGAAAUCUUCCGGCUCAACCGGAAGGCGUCUCAGGGGAACUGGCGACCUAGGGAUCGGGAGAGGUGAGAGGUACUCUGGGGGUAGGAGUGAAAUCCUGUAAUCCUCAGGGGACCACCUGUGGCGAAGGCGUCUCACCAGAACGACUCCGACAGUGAGGGACGAAAGCUGGGGGAGCAAACCGGAUUAGAUACCCGGGUAGUCCCAGCCGUAAACAAUGUGCGUUAGGUGAGUAUUGGGAAUUCCU